rnacentral:rRNA from 1 species
UACGGAGGGGGCUAGCGUUGUUCGGAAUUACUGGGCGUAAAGGGCGCGUAGGCGGCCUCUUAAGUCGAACGUGAAAUCCCCGGGCUCAACCCGGGAACUGCGUCCGAUACUGGGAGGCUUGAAUCCGGGAGAGGGAUGUGGAAUUCCAGGUGUAGCGGUGAAAUGCGUAGAUAUCUGGAGGAACACCGGUGGCGAAGGCGGCAUCCUGGACCGGUAUUGACGCUGAGGCGCGAAAGCCAGGGGAGCAAACAGG